rnacentral:rRNA from 1 species
AUUGAACGCUGGCGGCAGGCCUAACACAUGCAAGUCGAGCGAGCGGCGGACGGGUGAGUAAUGUAUGUGGAUCUUCCCGAUAGAGGGGGAUAACUACUGGACACGGUUGCUAAUACCGCAUACUAUCGGAUGAACCCAUGUGGGAUUAUCUAGUAGUGGGGGUAAAGGCUCACCUAGGCGACGAUCUCUACCUGGUCUGAGAGGAUGAUCAGCCACACUGGGACUGAGACACGGCCCAGACUCCUACGGGAGGCAGCAGUGGGGAAUAUUGCACAAUGGGCGAAAGCCUGAUGCAGCCAUGCCGCGUGUGUGAAGAAGGCCUUAGGGUUGUAAAGUACUUUCAGUGGGGAGGCGUUACCCGCAGAAGAAGCACCGGCUAACUCCGUGCCAGCCGCCGCGGUAAUUC